rnacentral:rRNA from 1 species
GAUGAACGCUGGCGGCGUGCCUAAUACAUGCAAGUCGAGCGAACGGACGAGAAGCUUGCUUCUCUGAUGUUAGCGGCGGACGGGUGAGUAACACGUGGAUAACCUACCUAUAAGACUGGGAUAACUUCGGGAAACCGGAGCUAAUACCGGAUAAUAUUUUGAACCGCAUGGUUCAAAAGUGAAAGACGGUCUUGCUGUCACUUAUAGAUGGAUCCGCGCUGCAUUAGCUAGUUGGUAAGGUAACGGCUCACCAAGGCAACGAUGCAUAGCCGACCUGAGAGGGUGAUCGGCCACACUGGAACUGAGACACGGUCCGGACUCCUACGGGAGGCAGCAGUAGGGAAUCUUCCGCAAUGGGCGAAAGCCUGACGGAGCAACGCCGCGUGAGUGAUGAAGGUCUUCGGAUCGUAAAACUCUGUUAUUAGGGAAGAACAUAUGUGUAAGUAACUGUGCACAUCUUGACGGUACCUAAUCAGAAAGCCACGGCUAACUACGUG